rnacentral:rRNA from 1 species
GCGGCAAAAGCUCAAAUUUGAAAUCUGGUACCUUCGGUGCCCGAGUUGUAAUUUGGAGAGGGCAACUUUGGGGCCGUUCCUUGUCUAUGUUCCUUGGAACAGGACGUCAUAGAGGGUGAGAAUCCCGUGUGGCGAGGAGUGCGGUUCUUUGUAAAGUGCCUUCGAAGAGUCGAGUUGUUUGGGAAUGCAGCUCUAAGUGGGUGGUAAAUUCCAUCUAAAGCUAAAUAUUGGCGAGAGACCGAUAGCGAACAAGUACAGUGAUGGAAAGAUGAAAAGAACUUUGAAAAGAGAGUGAAAAAGUACGUGAAAUUGUUGAAAGGGAAGGGCAUUUGAUCAGACAUGGUGUUUUGUGCCCUCUGCUCCUUGUGGGUAGGGGAAUCUCGCAUUUCACUGGGCCAGCAUCAGUUUUGGUGGCAGGAUAAAUCCAUAGGAAUGUAGCUUGCCUCGGUAAGUAUUAUAGCCUGUGGGAAUACUGCCAGCUGGGACUGAGGACUGCGACGUAAGUCAAGGAUGCUGGCAUAAUGGUUAUAUGCCGCCCGUCUU